CAGAUGUCUUCAUCUCCUUCCCUGGCCACAGAAGACUCUGUGACAUCAAAGAGGAGUUCUAUAGGAUUGCAGAUGGUCUGCAAUGCUGACUGUGUGAUCAGCAAUGUUGUGGCAAAAUGGCCUGGCUCAGUCCAUGACUCCAGAAUCUUUCGGGCCUCUGAAAUCUAUCAGUGCCUAUCACAAGGUGAAUUCUCUGGUGUGUUGCUGGGAGACAGUGGGUAUGGCUGCCAGC